CACAGCGAUUACUUAUCCUCAUUGAUGUCAAGUAAUGUAUUAUUAACAGAAACUACCAUUUAAUACUAAAUGAAAAAAAGUAAUCACCACUAAAAGUGGGAAAAAUACAUCUAUAAAUUGUUUAUUGAUCUGAGAGUUUUAGUUAAAAUGUAUAUGGACUUUAAACGAAAUCAAGAAUCGCGAAAGAUUUAUUUGAAGAUAAUGAAAGAAAGCUUCCAAGCAAGGAGCAAACGUCAAAUCAAGUUUUUUUUGAGUGUCAAAUGAAAAUGCUUUUAAAAUAUUGCUGCGAUUGGACCGAGGAGCAAUAAAAACUCAUAAACUUAAGGACACGUUUUUUUUGAUUUUUUAUUAAGCAUAUUUCAAAUAACUUUUAACUUUAGAAUAGAUUUCGAAAUUCAUGAAA